AGUGAACGCUGGCGGUAGGCCUAACACAUGCAAGUCGAACGGCAGCACAGUAAGAGCUUGCUCUUACGGGUGGCGAGUGGCGGACGGGUGAGGAAUACAUCGGAAUCUACUUUUUCGUGGGGGAUAACGUAGGGAAACUUACGCUAAUACCGCAUACGACCUACGGGUGAAAGCAGGGGAUCUUCGGACCUUGCGCGAUUGAAUGAGCCGAUGUCGGAUUAGCUAGUUGGCGGGGUAAAGGCCCACCAAGGCGACGAUCCGUAGCUGGUCUGAGAGGAUGAGCAGCCCAAAUUGAAAUGAGACACCGUCCAGGCUACUAAGGGGGGCAGCAGUGGGGAAUAUUGGACAAUGGGCGCAAGCCUGAUCCCGCCACACCGCGUGGGUGAAAAAGGGCUUCGGGUUGUAAAGCCCUUUUGUUGGGAAAGAAAAGCAGCAGGUUAAUACCCCGCUGUUCUGACGGUACCCAAAGAGUAAGCACCGGCUAACUUCGUG
rnacentral:rRNA from 1 species